UACGUAGGGUGCAAGCGUUGUCCGGAAUUAUUGGGCGUAAAGGGCUCGUAGGCGGUCCAUCGCGUCGGGAGUGAAAGCCCGUUGCUUAACGGCGGGUUGGCUUUCGGUACGGGCAUGCUGGAGUGCGGCAGGGGAGACUGGAAUUCCUGGUGUAGCGGUGGAAUGCGCAGAUAUCAGGAGGAACACCGGUGGCGAAGGCGGGUCUCUGGGCCGUUACUGACGCUGAGGAGCGAAAGCGUGGGGAGCAAACAGG
rnacentral:rRNA from 1 species